rnacentral:lncRNA from 1 species
UUUUGCUUCUGUGAUAUAUGCUUUGCUAAUUACUUAGGGAGACUAGAGAUAGUAAACUAGUAGUUAGUGGUAGGCUCUUUUCGCCGAGAGGGGUAGGCAAAGAAAGUUUGCAUGACAAUUAGAUAAUAAAGCGAAUUAAAUAAGAAAAGUAGAUAUAAGAGGGCGGAUAAGAUGAAAUUGUAAACCCCAACAACUCCAUUCAUUCAUAUCACAGGCACAGGGUAGCAGAUUUGGAGCAGCUGGAGCACCAGACAUUAAUGAGGAUGAUGAGGAGGAUGACUUCGAGGAUGCUGAAGCUGGAGAUCAGGAGGACUCAGAUGAUGACAUGAGUUGAGAAGGCAUCUACUGAUGGAUGCCAGUUCUUAGGACAGGGGUUUUAUCUUUUUCUUUUGUACUUUGAAUUUUUAGAAUAGGUUGAAUUUUAUUGUAGGUGUCUGUGCUUGGCUUGAAUAUUAUUUCUGACUAUGGUUUGACUUGAUGAUAUUGCAUGAUGAGUUUAUUUGAUGAUGAUUGGAUGUGUAUGAUGAUUGAG